rnacentral:rRNA from 1 species
CCUACGGGAGGCAGCAGUGGGGAAUAUUGGACAAUGGGCGAAAGCCUGAUCCAGCAAUGCCGCGUGAGUGAUGAAGGCCUUAGGGUUGUAAAGCUCUUUUACCAGGGAUGAUAAUGACAGUACCUGGAGAAUAAGCUCCGGCUAACUCCGUGCCAGCAGCCGCGGUAAUACGGAGGGAGCUAGCGUUGUUCGGAAUUACUGGGCGUAAAGCGUACGUAGGCGGUUAUUCAAGUCAGAGGUGAAAGCCUGGAGCUCAACUCCAGAACUGCCUUUGAAACUAGAUAGCUAGAAUCUUGGAGAGGUGAGUGGAAUUCCGAGUGUAGAGGUGAAAUUCGUAGAUAUUCGGAAGAACACCAGUGGCGAAGGCGACUCACUGGACAAGUAUUGACGCUGAGGUACGAAAGCGUGGGGAGCAAACAGGAUUAGAUACCCUGGUAGUCCACGCCGUAAACGAUGAUAACUAGCUGUUCGGGCUCUACGAGCUUGAGUGGCGCAGCUAACGCAUUAAGUUAUCCGCCUGGGGAGUACGGUCGCAAGAUUAAAACUCAAAGAUAGUACGGCGNGAGAGAGCGACGACGACGACGAGGAGGAGGAGG